UUAUAAGGAACCACAACAACAACAAAUGGAGCCAUAACAAAUCCUACUCCUAGUUUGGAAGCCGAGCAAAUAAGUUUGAAUUUAUUGUAAAGGUUGGAGAUGGGGAUGAUGACAGACCAUCCAGCCAAACUUAAAUUGAAGCAGACAUCAUGCGCCACCUGGUUGCUGAAGCCCUAGAGGACCUUUAUGUUUACAGCAAAAAUGUAAUAAUUUAGCAACAUAUAUAGGCAAUUGCUAAACUCUGUUCUGUUAAUUUUGUGCCAAAUUUAGCAUUUAAAACCAGAUACCAGAUACUUUCAGUUUUU